AUUGAACGCUGGCGGAAUGCUUUACACAUGCAAGUCGAACGGCAGCACGGACUUCGGUCUGGUGGCGAGUGGCGAACGGGUGAGUAAUGUAUCGGAACGUGCCCAGUCGUGGGGGAUAACGUAGCGAAAGCUACGCUAAUACCGCAUACGAUCUAUGGAUGAAAGCGGGGGAUCGCAAGACCUCACGCGAUCGGAGCGGCCGAUAUCAGAUUAGGUAGUUGGUGGGGUAAAGGCCCACCAAGCCAACGAUCUGUAGCUGGUCUGAGAGGACGACCAGCCACACUGGAACUGAGACACGGUCCAGACUCCUACGGGAGGCAGCAGUGGGGAAUUUUGGACAAUGGGCGAAAGCCUGAUCCAGCCAUUCCGCGUGCAGGAUGAAGGCCCUCGGGUUGUAAACUGCUUUUGUACAGAACGAAAAGGUUUCUACUAAUACUAGGAGCUCAUGACGGUACUGUAAGAAUAAGCACCGGCUAACUACGUGCCAGCCGCCGCAGUAA
rnacentral:rRNA from 1 species